rnacentral:rRNA from 1 species
AUUGAACGCUGGCGGCAGGCCUAACACAUGCAAGUCGAGCGAGCGGCGGACGGGUGAGUAAUGUAUGGGGAUCUGCCCGAUGGAGGGGGAUAACUCCUGGAAACGGUUGCUAAUACCGCAUACCAUCAGAUGAACCCAUAUGGGAUUCGCUAGUAGGUGGGGUAAAGGCUCACCUAGGCGACGCUCCCUCGCUGGUCUGAGAGGAUGAUCAGCCACACUGGGACUGAGACACGGCCCAGACGCCUACGGGAGGCAGCAGGGGGGAAUAUUGCAAAAUGGGCGCAAGCCUGAUGCAGCCAUGCCGCGUGUAUGAAGAAGGCCUUAGGGUUGUAAAGUACUUUCAGUCGGGAGGCGUUACCUGCAGAAGAAGCACCGGCUAACUCCGUGCCAGCAGCCGCGGUAAUUC